GCGGGGUUAGUUGAGCGAUACAACAUUGCCCUUCCAAGGCGAAGAGACGGGUUUGACUCCCGUACCCCGCU
rnacentral:tRNA from 1 species